AAUGAUUGUGAUAUUGUGGUGUUUGCAGCAUGAUCGUUGCUGCCGUCGUCGACCUCGAGAAGGGCACUCCAACCUCCAGUGGAUCAUCUUCAUUUCCACAAUGGGUUCCGAAACAAUCACUUGGCGCAUGAUAUAUGGAAUGAACGAUAGUUUUGGGUGUCUUUACUUGUGAGUACCAGGCAUUAGUAGGCGUAAAUCCAACCAAAGAAUCAUCAGAAUUGAUUAUCUAAUUCCCCAACAGUUAUUAGAAACAAUGAAGAGGUUCGACCAAAGCAUCCUCCCGCUGCUCGACACCGAUGUCUUCCCAGCAUCCUCCCGCUAACCGAUAUGUUCCCAGGAACAUCCGCACAGGACAUAACAGGGCAGCAUAGGACAGCUCUAGCUGGUGCUGCAUAUGCAAAGCCAAAUCUAAUGGUUACCACUAUAUAUAUAUCGCAGAGCCAAUCACAAAACAGAGCCAAGACUUUAGGAGCGACACUGCAUUAUAUGAGCAUGCUUAAUUCUGUAAAUAGACAAGGAAUAGGUAGACCAUGCAAAUGUACAAGGGAAUUACAGGAAAGAUAAACAAGGUUGAUUGCAUGUGAACCAUAUGAAUACAUAGCUGU